rnacentral:rRNA from 1 species
UACGUAGGCAGCGAGCGUUGUUCGGAGUUACUGGGCGUAAAGGGUGUGUGGGCGGUUGUUUAAGUUUGGUGUGAAAUCUCCCGGCUCAACUGGGAGGGUGCGCCGAAUACUGAAUGACUAGAGUGCGGGAGAGGGAAGUGGAAUUCCUGGUGUAGCGGUGAAAUGCGUAGAUAUCGGGAGGAACACCGGUGGUGUAGACGGCUUUCUGGACCGUAACUGACGCUGAAACACGAAAGCGUGGGUAGCAAACAGG